rnacentral:rRNA from 1 species
GGACAGUGGAACUCCAUGUGUAGCGGUGAAAUGCGUAGAUAUAUGGAAGAACACCAGUGGCGAAGGCGGCUGUCUGGUCUGUAACUGACGCUGAGGCUCGAAAGUAUGGGUAGCAAACAGGAUUAGAUACCCUGGUAGUCCAUACCGUAAACGAUGAAUGCUAAGUGUUGGAGGGUUUCCCCCUUCAGUGCUGCAGCUAACGCAUUAAGCAUUCCGCCUGGGGAGUACGACCGCAAGGCUGAAACUCAAAGGAAUUGACGGGGGCCCGCACAAGCGGUGGAGCAUGUGGUUUAAUUCGAAGCUACGCGAAGAACCUUACCAGGUCUUGACAUACUAUGCAAAUCUAAGAGAUUAGACGUUCCCUUCGGGGACAUGGAUACAGGUGGUGCAUGGUUGUCGUCAGCUCGUGUCGUGAGAUGUUGGGUUAAGUCCCGCAACGAGCGCAACCCUUAUUAUCAGUUGCCAGCAUUAAGUUGGGCACUCUGGUGAGACUGCCGGUGACAAACCGGAGGAAGGUGGGGAUGACGUCAAAUCAUCAUGCCCCUUAUGACCUGGGCUACACACGUGCUACAAUGGAUGGUACAACGAGUUGCGAACUCGCGAGAGUAAGCUAAUCUCUUAAAGCCAUUCUCAGUUCGGAUUGUAGGCUGCAACUCGCCUACAUGAAGUCGGAAUCGCUAGUAAUCGCGGAUCAGCAUGCCGCGGUGAAUACGUUCCCGGGCCUUGUACACACCGCCCGUCACACCAUGAGAGUUUGUAACACCCAAAGUCGGUGGGGUAACCUUUAGGAACCAGCCGCCUAAGGUGGGACAGAUGAUUAGGGUGAAGUCGUAACAAGGUAACCAAGGGCGAA